UUUAACUGAAGAGUUUGAUCAUGGCUCAGAUUGAACGCUGGCGGCAGGCUUAACACAUGCAAGUCGAGCGGGGGAAGGUAGCUUGCUACUGGACCUAGCGGCGGACGGGUGA
rnacentral:rRNA from 1 species